rnacentral:rRNA from 1 species
UGUAUUGAUCAACCUAAAAUAUCAGUUCACUGGAUUCCAUAAGAAUUCCGAAUUUAGGCGUGUUUGAGCUAAAAUAAUACUAGGAUGGAUGACCUCUUAGGAAGUUCUCGUAUUAAACCAC